AUUGAACGCUGGCGGCAGGCCUAACACAUGCAAGUCGAGCGAGAGGCGGACGGGUGAGUAAUGUAUGGGAAUAUGACCGAUGGAGGGGGAUAACUACUGGAAACGGAUGAUAAUACCGCAUACAAUCGGAUGGACCCAUAUGGGAGUAGCUAGUAGGUGGGGUAAAGGCUAACCUAGGCGACGAUCCCUAGCUGGUCUGAGAGGCUGAUCAGUCACACGUGAACUGAGACACGGUCCAGACUCCUACGGGAGGCAGCAGUGGGGAAUAUUGCACAAUGGGCGAAAGCCUGAUGCAGCCAUGCCGCGUGUGUGAAGAAGGCCUUCGGGUUGUAAAGUACUUUCAGCUGGGAGGCGUUACCCGCAGAAGAAGCACCGGCUAACUCCGUGCCAGCAGCCGCGGUAAUAC
rnacentral:rRNA from 1 species